CUACCUCCAGCCUUGUCCUUUGAAUCAGCGCUGUCACACAGACAAGAAAGGGACCAACAGCUGAAGAAGCUUAAAGAUGGGUUCACGCUGGACCUGCUGUGGAUGCACUCUAUGUAACCCAGGGAGACUGGAGGAAGCGGCAGCCAGGUGGCGACCCUGUAGGCAGCGGCGAGAACAAAUCACAAUGGCCUGGGCCGCUGCCAAGAGCUGGGACUCUGCCAUCACACAGCCCACCAACACUCACAAGAGCAGCUCAUGGUCACUCAUCGCAGACACUCUCCACACGUCUCUCUCUCGCAGCACUCAGGUCAGUAGAAAGGGAAUGCUAUACACAUUGUUGGCCACUUCGCUCUAUAAUUCAUGCACUGCUCCUAAAAUAGAGUACUCGAACAGUACGCACUGUUUCUUCGGCGGCUGCAAAAACAGAGUCAUGCAUGUGGAGUAAAACAACGGCAUGUUUUCAAAUAAAAAGAGAAUAAAAUUGG